rnacentral:rRNA from 1 species
UACAGGGGGGGGCAAGCGUUGUUCGGAAUUACUGGGCGUAAAGGGCUCGUAGGCGGCCAACUAAGUCAGACGUGAAAUCCCUCGGCUUAACCGGGGAACUGCAUCUGAUACUGGAUGGCUUGAGUUUGGGAGAGGGAUGCGGAAUUCCAGGUGUAGCGGUGAAAUGCGUAGAUAUCUGGAGGAACACCGGUGGCGAAGGCGGCAUCCUGGACCAACACUGACGCUGAGGAGCGAAAGCCAGGGGAGCAAACGGG